CCUACGGGAGGCAGCAGUGGGGAAUAUUGGGCAAUGGGCGCAAGCCUGACCCAGCAACGCCGCGUGAAGGAAGAAGGCUUUCGGGUUGUAAACUUCUUUUCUCAGGGACGAAGAAAGUGACGGUACCUGAGGAAUAAGCCACGGCUAACUUCGUGCCAGCAGCCGCGGUAAUACGUAGGUGGCAAUCGUUAUCCGGAUUUACUGGGUGUAAAGGGCGUGUAGGCGGGACUGCAAGUCAGAUGUGAAAACCACGGGCUCAACCGGUGACCUGCAUUUGAAACUGUAGUUCUUGAGUACUGGGGAGGCAGACGGAAUUCCUGGUGUAGCGGUGAAAUGCGUAGAUAUUAGGAGGAACACCAGUGGCGAAGGCGGUCUGCUGGACAGCAACUGACGCUGAGGCGCGAAAGCGUGGGGAGCAAACAGGAUUAGAUACCCUUGUAGUC
rnacentral:rRNA from 1 species